CCUCCGCCUCCGGCCCGCCCUCGUCUCCGCCCCUGCGGGGGCUGCUCGUUAGGCCCCGCCCUGCACCCCCGUCACCCACGCCGCGCGACCCGCAGCCGCCGCCAGGGCCCUCUGCUGCCGCGGAGGUGCUAGGACAGCCGCGGACGGCCCGCCUCCCCGUGCCCCGGGCCUCGAGGCCAAUAAAAAGCUCGCCCCUCCAGCUCACCGGGUCCGACGGGUACGGUACAAAGUGCUGUCUCUCGCCACAGCCACCUUUGUGACAAUAAAAGCAAUAAGGCUAAUGUCCAUGGGGCGCUCACGGUGAGCUUUAGCUUUAUGAUAAAGAUUGGCCUGUUACCUCGUUUAAUCUUCACAACUGCCCCAUCAACUAUGUACUCUUACUGUCCCCAGUUUAUGCAUGAACAGAGAAAGCUGAGAUACGGAGACUAGUGAUCCGUCGAGGUAAUAAACGGCACAGGUGGGGUUUGAACUCCAUCAGUUUGAUUGCAGAGGCCUGGAACAACCCUACAGCCUUCUCUCAGAUCUUUUCUGGACCUUUUUCUAUGCGCUUUGGACCUAGGACGUGAGGCUGCCAAGCUUGGUAUUCAAUAAAUAUUGAUGGAUGAAGGAACAAUGGAAGAAAGGAGUGCAUGGGUAAACAAAUGACAAAUAUGUCAAAGCACGGAUGCAGAUUCUUAGAAUGGGCUAAUGCUGUUUUCUGCUGGAUUUUUGGAUGUGUACAAACGAGUUCUCUCACAAUACAGAUCCACAGUGUCUGGGUCAGAGGAGAACUGAUGCUCCGCAUGGCAUUUUACCAUCCUGCCUGCCUGCCUGGGGCCCUGGGCCCACAGGCUUUGGGGAGAGUGUAUGGCCAGGCUGCAGCCUUCCUGGGAUAAAGCUCUGCCUUUUAGUCUCUUAUCCUACUUUUUAGAAGCCCUUUAAGGUCUUUGUUAAAGGAAAUCUAAUGUGAAGAAUUCCAGGAGAACUGGAUAAGCCUGACUAUGGGUGGGCGUGACUGAAUUACUUCCCGGGCUGGCUAAGGAAGGCCUCCCCCGAAGUGCAUCGGAAGCCUGCAGCUUCUCCUUAUGGCCACUGGAGGGCACUUGGACCAUGAAAUACCAGAUCGUCUCGGCGUCCCAGGUCUUUGGAAAUGUGUGAUUCAAUUCAGCAAACGUUUCAAAAUCAUCACUAUAAAGAUAGCGCUUUUGUGUUGAACAUCCAAUAUGGCGCUAAACACCUUAUAUAUAUGUGUGCGUGUAUAUAUGAACUUGCUUAAUAUUAACUACAAUUGUUGUGAGUUACUUAGGCUAUUUAGGAAAAAAAAAUCAAGGCUUAAAGAAGUCAAAGUACUUACCCAAGAUUGCUUAGCUAAAUAAAAUUUGGGAGUAAGGACUUGAACUCAAGCCCUUGGGCACCAACCAUAAGCAAUAGGUGCACACAAAGCUGAAAUGAGGACUCUCUUAUAAGCAGGAAGACGCACACACCACACAAAUAUUAUUGUUCCUCAACAAUUUACACAUUCUGAAAUUGGAAGAUGACUUACAAUUUGUACAUUACAUGGUAAUGUUUCUUUUUUCCCUUGAAAUGAUGUUAUUAAAUAAAUGAAGUGUCUCACAAUU
rnacentral:lncRNA from 10 species